AAAAGAAAUUAAUUUAAUUAAAUUGUUAUAAAACUCUAGAUUUAGAUUUAAAAUAGGAAGUAUAUGUUUAUAACAAUAGCAACAAAAUAUUUUUCAUUUCCAAUUAACUAGCUAGGUGUAUUAUGUCAAUACUUUUUUGAAUAAUAUUGAAUUGAUGCAUUUUAAAAUAACCCUUAUUCAAAUAAUAAUAUUUAAUUAUGAUAAUUAGCUAAUUAAUUGACAUUUUAGAUUGGGACUGGCAUGAAGAUGGGAUUACACCAGAGAG
rnacentral:misc_RNA from 1 species